rnacentral:rRNA from 1 species
GAUGAACGCUAGCGGCAGGCCUAACACAUGCAAGUCGAGGGGGAAGUUACUUUCGGGUGACUGAGACCGGCGUACGGGUGCGUAACGCGUAUACAAUCUGCCUUUCACUGGGGGAUAGCCCGAAGAAAUUUGGAUUAAUACCCCAUAGUAUAUAGGGACGGCAUCGUUUUUAUAUUAAAGCUUAGGUGGUGAAUGAUGAGUAUGCGUUCUAUUAGCUUGUUGGAGAGGUAACGGCUCCCCAAGGCGAUGAUAGGUAGGGGUUCUGGGAGGGAUGUCCCCCACAUUGGAACUGAGACACGGUACAAACUCCUACGGGAGGCAGCAGUGGGGAAUAUUGGGCAAAGGGCGGAAGCCUGAACCAGCCAAGUCGCGUGCAGGAGGAAGGGCCUAUGGGUUGUAAACUGCUUUUAUGAGGGGAAAAAGAGGGGGACGGGUCCUUUAUUGCAGGGACCUUAUGAAAAAGGACCGGCUAAUUCCGUG